rnacentral:lncRNA from 1 species
AAUUACGGGAAUAUUUUGACACACUAAAUCUUUCGAAUGUGUAUUUAUGACACGCGAAUUUUGUAUUUGACCACUCUUUUCAAAUAAGUGUAUAUCACGCACCAAUGAGAUGAUGACACGUGUGUUAACUUAAGAAAAGUAAAGAAAACAUUUACAGAAAGAAAAUUCAUCUCUCACCGGCCAAUUAACUCUCCACCACCAUGAAAUCCUUACUCAGCCAUUCCUCUGCCACCCAUUUUUCAUAAUCCUCGUUUGACACCAUCAUACUCCUCUGAAGAAAAUAUUCCCAAAGGCACCUUUCGCCGCCAACAGUACUACUAAGCACAAAAUUGCCCCACCGACAACUAGUCUUCAUUACCAUCCAUAAUCUACAUCCACUUCCUCCAUUCAAAUCUAUAUUUCCUUUCGCAGUCCCUACUCCACCAUCAUCAUAUUAAUGCUAGAAUAAAGUUAAAGGAACCAACCCAUCGCCCCAAGCAAUUAGAAUAAACAAUAAAAAAGUGGUGAAGGUCUGAUAAAUUUUGGGAACAGGUCUCUAAUUUUAUUAGAUUUUUAAGAGGGAUUUUUUAGAAGAAAGAAAGGAAGAAAAUAUAGGAGAAAAGGGAGAAGAUGAAAUGUUUUCUGGUAGGAUUUUGGAGAAAAAAGAAACGGAUUUUCGUUUCUCCAUUGUUGCUGGAGAGUUAUUUGCUUGUGCU